CAAAUACGACAGCAACAUAAUGGCAUCUUCAUAUCUCAAGAGAAAUACCUCAAAGAUUGCCUGAAGAAGUUUGGAAUGCAAGACUGCAAAGGUUAUACGAUGCCAAUGCCUACCAAAAGUCAUCUAGAUUCUGACGCCAAUGGUAAAGAGUUCGAUCAAAAGGUAUACCGCUCCAUGAUUGGUUCUUUGCUUUACUUAUGUGCAUCUAGGCCAGAUAUCAUGCUUAGUAUUUGCAUGUGUGCCCGAUUCCAAGCGGCACCCAAGGAAUCACAUCACUUAGCUGUGAAGCGAAUUCUUCGAUAUUUGGCUUACACCCAACACUAG
rnacentral:rRNA from 1 species